UCCCCGGUAGCUCAGUUGGUAGAGCAGCGGAUUGUUAAUCCGCCUGUCGCUGGUUCGAGUCCGGCCCGGGGAGCCA
rnacentral:tRNA from 1 species